rnacentral:rRNA from 1 species
UUAAGCGACUAAGCGUACACGGUGGAUGCCCUGGCAGUCAGAGGCGAUGAAGGACGUGCUAAUCUGCGAUAAGCGUCGGUAAGGUGAUAUGAACCGUUAUAACCGGCGAUUUCCGAAUGGGGAAACCCAGUGUGAUUCGUCACACUAUCAUUAACUGAAUCCAUAGGUUAAUGAGGCGAACCGGGGGAACUGAAACAUCUAAGUACCCCGAGGAAAAGAAAUCAACCGAGAUUCCCCCAGUAGCGGCGAGCGAACGGGGAGCAGCCCAGAGCCUGAAUCAGUGUGUGUGUUAGUGGAAGCGUCUGGAAAGGCGCGCGAUACAGGGUGACAGCCCCGUACACAAAAAUGCACAUGCUGUGAGCUCGAUGAGUAGGGCGGGACACGUGGUAUCCUGUCUGAAUAUGGGGGGACCAUCCUCCAAGGCUAAAUACUCCUGACUGACCGAUAGUGAACCAGUACCGUGAGGGAAAGGCGAAAAGAACCCCGGCGAGGGGAGUGAAAAAGAACCUGAAACCGUGUACGUACAAGCAGUGGGAGCACGCUUAGGCGUGUGACUGCGUACCUUUUGUAUAAUGGGUCAGCGACUUAUAUUCUGUAGCAAGGUUAACCGAAUAGGGGAGCCGAAGGGAAACCGAGUCUUAACUGGGCGUUAAGUUGCAGGGUAUAGACCCGAAACCCGGUGAUCUAGCCAUGGGCAGGUUGAAGGUUGGGUAACACUAACUGGAGGACCGAACCGACUAAUGUUGAAAAAUUAGCGGAUGACUUGUGGCUGGGGGUGAAAGGCCAAUCAAACCGGGAGAUAGCUGGUUCUCCCCGAAAGCUAUUUAGGUAGCGCCUCGUGAAUUCAUCUCCGGGGGUAGAGCACUGUUUCGGCAAGGGGGUCAUCCCGACUUACCAACCCGAUGCAAACUGCGAAUACCGGAGAAUGUUAUCACGGGAGACACACGGCGGGUGCUAACGUCCGUCGUGAAGAGGGAAACAACCCAGACCGCCAGCUAAGGUCCCAAAGUCAUGGUUAAGUGGGAAACGAUGUGGGAAGGCCCAGACAGCCAGGAUGUUGGCUUAGAAGCAGCCAUCAUUUAAAGAAAGCGUAAUAGCUCACUGGUCGAGUCGGCCUGCGCGGAAGAUGUAACGGGGCUAAACCAUGCACCGAAGCUGCGGCAGCGACGCUUAUGCGUUGUUGGGUAGGGGAGCGUUCUGUAAGCCUGCGAAGGUGUGCUGUGAGGCAUGCUGGAGGUAUCAGAAGUGCGAAUGCUGACAUAAGUAACGAUAAAGCGGGUGAAAAGCCCGCUCGCCGGAAGACCAAGGGUUCCUGUCCAACGUUAAUCGGGGCAGGGUGAGUCGACCCCUAAGGCGAGGCCGAAAGGCGUAGUCGAUGGGAAACAGGUUAAUAUUCCUGUACUUGGUGUUACUGCGAAGGGGGGACGGAGAAGGCUAUGUUGGCCGGGCGACGGUUGUCCCGGUUUAAGCGUGUAGGCUGGUUUUCCAGGCAAAUCCGGAAAAUCAAGGCUGAGGCGUGAUGACGAGGCACUACGGUGCUGAAGCAACAAAUGCCCUGCUUCCAGGAAAAGCCUCUAAGCAUCAGGUAACAUCAAAUCGUACCCCAAACCGACACAGGUGGUCAGGUAGAGAAUACCAAGGCGCUUGAGAGAACUCGGGUGAAGGAACUAGGCAAAAUGGUGCCGUAACUUCGGGAGAAGGCACGCUGAUAUGUAGGUGAAGUCCCUCGCGGAUGGAGCUGAAAUCAGUCGAAGAUACCAGCUGGCUGCAACUGUUUAUUAAAAACACAGCACUGUGCAAACACGAAAGUGGACGUAUACGGUGUGACGCCUGCCCGGUGCCGGAAGGUUAAUUGAUGGGGUUAGCGCAAGCGAAGCUCUUGAUCGAAGCCCCGGUAAACGGCGGCCGUAACUAUAACGGUCCUAAGGUAGCGAAAUUCCUUGUCGGGUAAGUUCCGACCUGCACGAAUGGCGUAAUGAUGGCCAGGCUGUCUCCACCCGAGACUCAGUGAAAUUGAACUCGCUGUGAAGAUGCAGUGUACCCGCGGCAAGACGGAAAGACCCCGUGAACCUUUACUAUAGCUUGACACUGAACAUUGAGCCUUGAUGUGUAGGAUAGGUGGGAGGCUUUGAAGUGUGGACGCCAGUCUGCAUGGAGCCGACCUUGAAAUACCACCCUUUAAUGUUUGAUGUUCUAACGUUGACCCGUGAUCCGGGUUGCGGACAGUGUCUGGUGGGUAGUUUGACUGGGGCGGUCUCCUCCUAAAGAGUAACGGAGGAGCACGAAGGUUGGCUAAUCCUGGUCGGACAUCAGGAGGUUAGUGCAAUGGCAUAAGCCAGCUUGACUGCGAGCGUGACGGCGCGAGCAGGUGCGAAAGCAGGUCAUAGUGAUCCGGUGGUUCUGAAUGGAAGGGCCAUCGCUCAACGGAUAAAAGGUACUCCGGGGAUAACAGGCUGAUACCGCCCAAGAGUUCAUAUCGACGGCGGUGUUUGGCACCUCGAUGUCGGCUCAUCACAUCCUGGGGCUGAAGUAGGUCCCAAGGGUAUGGCUGUUCGCCAUUUAAAGUGGUACGCGAGCUGGGUUUAGAACGUCGUGAGACAGUUCGGUCCCUAUCUGCCGUGGGCGCUGGAGAACUGAGGGGGGCUGCUCCUAGUACGAGAGGACCGGAGUGGACGCAUCACUGGUGUUCGGGUUGUCAUGCCAAUGGCACUGCCCGGUAGCUAAAUGCGGAAGAGAUAAGUGCUGAAAGCAUCUAAGCACGAAACUUGCCCCGAGAUGAGUUCUCCCUGAGACUUUAAGUCUCCUGAAGGAACGUUGAAGACGACGACGUUGAUAGGCCGGGUGUGUAAGCGCAGCGAUGCGUUGAGCUAACCGGUACUAAUGAACCGUGAGGCUUAACCU